UACGGAGGGUGCAAGCGUUGUCCGGAAUUAUUGGGUGUAAAGGGUGUGUAGGCGGGGCCGUAAGUCAGGGGUGAAAGGCCGCAGCUCAACUGCGGGACUGCCUUUGAUACUGCGGUCCUUGAGUGUCGGAGGGGCCACUAGAAUUCGUGGUGUAGCGGUGAAAUGCGUAGAUAUCACGAGGAAUACCAGAGGCGUAGGCGGGUGGCUGGACGACAACUGACGCUGAGGCACGAAAGCGUGGGGAGCGAAC
rnacentral:rRNA from 1 species